rnacentral:rRNA from 1 species
UACGGAGGGUGCGAGCGUUGUUCGGAAUCACUGGGCGUAAAGGGCGUGUAGGCGGUCCGCUAAGUCUGAUGUGAAAGCCCGGGGCUUAACCUGGGAACUGCGUCGGAUACUGGAUGGCUUGAAUUCGGGAGAGGGAUGCAGAAUUCCAGGUGUAGCGGUGAAAUGCGUAGAUAUCUGGAGGAAUACCGGUGGCGAAGGCGGCAUCCUGGACCGACAUUGACGCUGAACGGCGAAAGCUAGGGGAGCAAACGGG